CAAGAAUCUCAGGAGAUUCAGAUGAUGCAACUUCCUGUUGUGGAAUAUUCCAUGUAUUUCACAGGGGGUUAUUGAUGUGACUAAACAGGGCUGAGAAACUGCUACAUAAUGCUUAAAGGUAUAAAGAUCCAACAGAGUGGUACAAAGGAACAAUUCCACAGACCGAUCCUGUGGGGCUCGUGGUCCGACCUUUCUUCAGUUCCCUGCUUGGAUAAAGUCAUUAGUGAAGUUUCACAGAGGCACGCGACCGAUAGGAUAUGAUAGGACGUUUUGAGGUGGGAUAGCGAUACAGAUGUUCAGGCAGUGUUAAGGCAGCACACAUCAGGACCUCUCCACAACGCACAUCUGGAAAAGAGUCUGUGGUUUCUCUUCUCUCCGUGAGGUACCGGUGUCAGACCCAGAGUGUCUGUGUGGAUGUCAGGCAGUCUUCGCUCGGGCCGCAGGCAAACAGCCAGACGCUGAAAACACAAACAACAAACGAGGAGGAAGAGGUCAGAGGUCACUGUUGUAAAAAAAAAAAAGUGACAACGGUGACAAAUGUCCAAGGCUUCAAAUAAUCUCUGCACACCUGAGGCAGAGAAGGAGACAGCCGUCGUUUAUCACACGCUCAAGGACAAAUAAAGGAAUAAGGAGGACUAUGUGCAGGGGUGAAUGUCAGCUCUCGCAUGUGUGAUUGCGUUAGCAAAGCUGAAUGGGAUUGACAUUUGGGAUGCAGAAGUUUCAGAAGUGAGCCGGCGAUCAAAAAUGGGAUUAUAGUGUCUUUAAAGGCUGCAGGGAAGGAAGGAGCUUCUACAUUUCUAAAUGUGAAAAUACUAAGCUGGAAACAUGUGACCUUCUUUAGCUGUUAGACUUAAUGUCCUCAUUAUUUAUUAUAAUAUGCACAUCAUUAAACUCAGUAAAAUAUGAGAGAUGAAAAAACACAAUGAAAUGGGUGGUUUUAUUCACCGCUAGAAAAGUCGGGCUGAUGGCCACCCAACAAAACCUCCAGAAGAAUCCGGGUGUGUAUCCCAGCAUGGAUUUGACAUCGUUGCUGAAUCUGUUGAUGCCUGAGAGAAAACAAGAAUGAUAGAAUUUAUUAACUGUGUCACUUUUGUUACAGAUACAAUAAUUAUACUGUAAUUAUAUGCUAUAGUUAACUAAAAAAACACAGUAACGUUGCUGCACUUGUGUUUGAAACUUUAUCUCACACUGUAUUGUGUUUUCAAAGCGAGAUUUUUUUACCAUAAAACCAGGAGACGGCGGUGGCUUCCAGAAACACGAUGGAUAUUAUAGAGAAUCCCACUCCAAACUCUUCAAGAAGUUUUACUACAUAUGCACCACCCUACAAAAAACAACAAAAAAACAACAGAGUUGAAGUCAGUUCAAGUUCUGAAGCUCUUCAGGUGUGUGGAGAAACUUCCUCAUGAUGAUAAAUGCAGGCUGUUCAUCUUGUCUUGACAUUUUGAAACUGUCCUGGAUUGGCCCGAAUAAAGAAAAUGCCCUUAGGUUCAGUCAAUCUGGCAGCAGUGUAGAGUCUGUGCUGUGUAGAGAUGUGACUGAGAGGUUAGGGUUAGCAGGUAAAUCAGUAUGUUUUGUGAAUGCACAGAGCCCACUUUUCAAGUCUGAAUCAGAGUGAAAUUGAUUCCGUUGAUUCAUUUCAUUUUGCACUGUCUAUAAUUAAACCCAGCCACAUAACACAAA